CAGUCGCCGCGGUAAUACGUAGGGUGCGAGCGUUAAUCGGAAUUACUGGGCGUAAAGCGUGCGCAGGCGGUUCGUUAAGACAGAUGUGAAAUCCCCGGGCUUAACCUGGGAACUGCAUUUGUGACUGGCGAGCUAGAGUAUGGCAGAGGGGGGUAGAAUUCCACGUGUAGCAGUGAAAUGCGUAGAGAUGUGGAGGAAUACCGAUGGCGAAGGCAGCCCCCUGGGCCUGUACUGACGCUCAUGCACGAAAGCGUGGGGAGCAAACAGGAUUAGAUACCCGCGUAGUCCCUGUCUCUUAUAC
rnacentral:rRNA from 1 species